rnacentral:rRNA from 1 species
CCUACGGGGGGCUGUAGUGGGGAAUAUUGGACAAUGGGGGCAACCCUGAUCCAGCCAUGCCGCGUGUGUGAAGAAGGCCCUCGGGUUGUAAAGCACUUUCAGUGAGGAAGAACGCCUGGUGGUUAAUACCCAUCAGGAAAGACAUCACUCACAGAAGAAGCACCGGCUAACUCCGUGCCAGCAGCCGCGGUAAUACGGAGGGUGCGAGCGUUAAUCGGAAUUACUGGGCGUAAAGCGCGCGUAGGUGGCUUGAUAAGCCGGUUGUGAAAGCCCCGGGCUCAACCUGGGAACGGCAUCCGGAACUGUCAAGCUAGAGUGCAGGAGAGGAAGGUAGAAUUCCCGGUGUAGCGGUGAAAUGCGUAGAGAUCGGGAGGAAUACCAGUGGCGAAGGCGGCCUUCUGGACUGACACUGACACUGAGGUGCGAAAGCGUGGGUAGCAAACAGGAUUAGAUACCCCGGUAGUC